UACGGGGGGGGCAAGCGUUGUUCGGAAUUACUGGGCGUAAAGGGCGCGUAGGCGGCCUUCUAAGUCGGACGUGAAAUCCCCAGGCUUAACUUGGGAACUGCGUCUGAUACUGGGAGGCUUGAGUGCGGGAGAGGGAUGUGGAAUUCCAGGUGUAGCGGUGAAAUGCGUAGAUAUCUGGAGGAACACCGGUGGCGAAGGCGGCAUCCUGGACCGGUAUUGACGCUGAGGCGCGAAAGCCAGGGGAGCAAACGGG
rnacentral:rRNA from 1 species